AUUGAACGCUGGCGGCAUGCCUUACACAUGCAAGUCGAACGGCAGCACGGGAGCAAUCCUGGUGGCGAGUGGCGAACGGGUGAGUAAAGUAUCGGAACGUGCCGAGUCGUGGGGGAUAACGUAGCGCAAGUUACGCUAAUACCGAAUACGAUCUAUGGAUGAAAGCGGGGGAUCGCAAGACCUCGCGCGAUUGGAGCGCCCGGUAUCAGAUUAGGUAGUGGGUGGGGUAAAGGCUCACCAAGCCGACGAUCUGUAGCUGGUCUGAGAGGACGACCAGCCACACUGGGACUGGGACACGGCCCAGACUCCUACGGGAGGCAGCAGUGGGGAAUUUUGGACAAUGGGCGAAAGCCUGAUCCAGCCAUGCCGCGUGCAGGAUGAAGGCCUGCGGGUUUUAAACUGCUUGUGUACGGAACGAAAAGGUUUGGCCUAAUAAGCUGAGCUCAUGACGGUACCGUAAGAAUAAGCACCGGCUAACUACGUGCCAGCAGCCGCCGUAA
rnacentral:rRNA from 1 species